UACGAAGGGGGCUAGCGUUGCUCGGAAUCACUGGGCGUAAAGCGCACGUAGGCGGAUUGCUAAGUCAGGGGUGAAAUCCUGGAGCUCAACUCCAGAACUGCCUUUGAUACUGGCGGUCUCGAGUCCGGGAGAGGUGAGUGGAACUGCGAGCGUAGAGGUGAAAUUCGUAGAUAUUCGCAAGAACACCAGUGGCGAAGGCGGCUCACUGGCCCGAUACUGACGCUGAGGUGCGAAAGCGUGGGGAGCAAACAGG
rnacentral:rRNA from 1 species